GAGAGAGAGAGAGAGAGAGAGAAAACGAUUCUUGUGACUUUUCCCCCAUAAAACAUAAGGAGUUCCGGCGAUGAUGCAUGAUUCGUCUGGUGAUGAUGAUUCGUGCUCCGGCGAUGACGACUCCAGCUCCAGCGAUGACGAUUCGAGCUCUGGUAUUGUUUUGAUUUGGUUUUCUCUUUUUAUUACACACAACUAUGAAUUGCUUUAUUACAAUGUGAUAUUUUUUGUUUAAGUUGAUUGGUUUUGUUUUCAGUAUUGUGAAGUGGUGUUUAGGAGAAAAGUUAGUUGUAUAACACGUCACUUGUAUAAUUUGGUAAAGUGAUUCACGAUUUUCUUUGCAAUCCAAAUAAUUAAAAAGAAAGAUGGUUUGAUGAAGACAUAAAACACUUGAGCCAACUUAUUACAAAGAUAACAACUCAAUCAGAUUCAAACUCAACAAAAGCUUAUGCUGAUAACAAAAGAAGGCUUUUAACUCAAGAACGCAAGCACAAACGGAGCUUUGUGGCAUCGAUUUUGAUAAGUCUUUAGUGAAGCUAAAUGAGCUCUCUUCAACUCUCUUACACAACUCUUAUACUUGAGCAUUCAUGAAAAAAACUGUAGUAGACGGUUUGAUAAGGAAGCGUCCCGCGGUACGGGUUUGGGCCGGCAUUUUGAAGACCGCAGCCCGCGCGGGACAGGCCCGCUGUAACCCGCUCGACGACUAACCCGUUGCGGUACGGGACGGAACGGGACGGGUAAACCUGUUUGACAUCUCUAGUUCUUAGGCUAAUAAGUAAUUAAAAAAAAUGAAAAAUGGCAAUUAACUUAAGAGGCGGGUCUCGGAGAGGUGAUUUUAGUCGGUGAAGAAAACUUCAACCCGACGAAGGAUAUGUGUUCUCUCUUCCCCGAAGUCGACGAUGACCACGCUACCAUACGCCGACGUCGUCACCUCUCUCGCAGAUGAUGGACCUGGAAUCUCCGCGAAGGAGGUAGGAGGAAAGAGCCGUGAUCGUGGUCGCGGUCUCCGGAACUAUAUAUACAUCUCAAUACGUAGUUGAGCGUAUCGUCUCACAUGAUGUUGAUGGGAUUCAGAUUAAGCCAAAGUCUAGACAUAUUAGGUGUAGCUUGAGAGAUUACGAUGAUGGGCUUAUUGAUAUCACUAACAGAGCGCUGCGCUGAUAUCAUUGUUUCUAGGUUUAUGUUUUAUGGUUUAUUUAUUUGUGAGUGUUGUGACUGGUGCUUAGUUUUGUGUUCUUGGUUUUACAGAUGUCAGCAUGAUAAGACGAUGUUGAUUGGAGCAGAUCCUUCUCAUGUUGAUGAUAGAAAAAUUGCUUAGUGAUCAACCUCAACUUCUUCAGCAAUUUGGAUUGGAUCUUCUUCCAGUUCUAGCGCAGGUACUCUCUGUUGUAUGUUAAACUAUCUUUUUUCUUUCCAAUAGAUUCAUGGUUCGCCGUAAAUGUCUCUCAGUUAUCGGAAAGUUGAUAGCACUUCAGAAAUGAUGACACAAAUAUAUCUAGGUAUGUUGUUUACUAUUAAAUUACUUCACGUGAUAGUGGGUGCAACAUCUUAUAUCUUUUUCGUAUAUCCACAAGUCUUGGUCCAUGCUCUUCAAGUUGCAGAAAUUCUGAUGGAAAAGCUUCCUGAAACGUUCUCUAAAGUUUUCGCGAGGGAAUGGGUGGUUCAUGCUGUAGAUCAACUUGUCUUGGUUGCUAAACCUUUAUCUCAUGCUUGUUUCUGAGUUUGUUUGUUUGUUUCUCAGUUUAUUAUUACGACUUUGUUUUGAAGACUGAAGUUCAUGUUUGUUUCUGAGUUUAUUUUUAGGGAAAUUUGGCUGUAUGACGCUGAAAAAAACCAUAAUUCACCUUCUAACCAAUUUCCCUAAUAUAUCGAUACACCAUCUGUCUUUCCUAUAAUAUUGCCAAAAUACCCUUUCAUUCUA